rnacentral:lncRNA from 1 species
GAUUAGAAAUAUUUUGUCAGUAUAUUUAUUUAACCAAUGAUUAAUUCAAUGAAUAUUGACUAUAAACUACAUGCCAACCAUUUUUCUACAGAGUGAAAAAACACUGAUUGUCUCUCUUCUUUGAGAUUAUUAUUUUAAGUCACUAAACAGGUAAAUGCAUAGUACAUAUAACAGAUUAUAUACUAAUAAGUUAAUUGAGAGAAAAUAUCAAUGUGAACUUGUGUGGAAAUUUUAUAUAGGUUGACCAGAAAAGAAUUCCCUGAAAAGUUAACUUUGAGUACAAACCCAAGCAAAUAUAUUGAUUAUCCAAGAAAAUAUACAAAAGAUGAAACUUCCAGGGCAAGGUACAAAGGGGACAUUAAAGAAAUUGAGCAGACCAAUGAUGGUGGUUAGAAUGAAGGAGGUGGAAAUUAGCAGGACCAGUCUGUGGAGAGGCAAGAGGCUUCCAAACAAUGUGAAAUAUUCUGGGGCUUAGACAGAAUUUGACUGAAGUUAUUCAGUUUAAAACAAAAGGGGAAGAGGCACAUUCAAAAGGAAGCACAGAUAGGAGAUAUUAUAAUAAUCAGAGAAGAGUGAUUGAUAUAUGAGUUGAACAAAGAUCAGAGUUGAGGUACAAAAAUCCUGAUGUCCUCUUAAAUUGGAAGUACUAUGAAAGUGUAUGCCCAACCAAAAAAAA